rnacentral:rRNA from 1 species
CUAACCGUGCAAAGGUAGCACAAUCACUUGUUCUAUAAAUCAGGACUAGUAUGAACGGCCCCACGAGGGCUACGCUGUCUCCCCCCCCCAAUCAGUGAAACUGAUCUCCUCGUGAAGAUAACCCCACAAGACGAGAAGACCCCAUGGAACUUUAAACUAGUGCCACUAUUUCUAACUCACACCACACCAACAAAACACAUGACCACUAGUCUUUUGGCUGGGGCGGCCACGGAGAAAAACGAAACCCCCGAGAUGAGACCCCUUAUCCCAGAACUACUAUUCCAAGAAUCAACAAAUGACAUAAUUGACCCAAUAAUUUACCCAAUAAUUGACCAACGAACCAAGCUACCCUGGGGAUAACAGCGCAAUCCAUUUCAAGAGACCCCAUCGACAAAUGGGCUUACGACCUCGAUGUUGGAUCAGGGUAUCCUGGCGGUGCAGCCGCUGCCGAAGGUUCGUUUGUUCAACGAUUAAAACCCUACGUGAUCU